AACCAAAAGUAAAAACACAAACACAAAACACUGACAUUGAACAAUAUAAAUAGUAACUAAGUAAGAUUAGUAACUAAUAUUAUGUAUGUAUUUUAAUUUAAUACAUUUUGUGCAUAUUGGAAACAGUAAUUGAGUUUAAAUUCGAAAUGGAGUUAAGUGAAGAUUCUACAGAAAGAAAACAAAAUAUUUUAAUACCUGACAAAGGUAGAGGUUCUGUAGAGCAAUAUGUUAAUGUACAAAUUAAAUCAGAACUGGAGGAAUGCAGGCUUGAGCUUGAAAGUAAUUACACAGAGAAUUAUUUAUCAGAGUCAUAUUGUUCCGAUAAUAUUAAAAUAGAAGAACAUGUGCUACAAUAUGAUAUAAGUAACCCAUACCCUGUCAUUACCAAACAAGAAGUUAAGACAGAAAUCAAAGAAGAACUGGAUGAACAUAACUUACAAGUAAAUCACGGGUGUGACACUCUAUUUAACAGUACAGAUACUGAAAAAUUAGAUUCGGAGAGAGAUGUAAAAUUGCAAAUAGGAGCUUCACCUGAGAUAGAUGAUGAAAAACAUUGCAGAAGUAUAAAAACAGAAAAAUUAUUGCCCAGCAUUGACAAAAAAGGUUUACGUCAGAAUGAAGUUAAAACGAAAUGUGAAGGAUCUUUGAUAACACAAACACGAGAAAAUUCGUACAAGUGUGAAACAUGUUUGAAGGAAUUUACUGUGUUAAGAUCUUUAAAGAGGCAUUUGCAAAUACACACUGGGAACAAACCUUACAAGUGUGAAAUUUGUUUUAAACAAUUUGGUAAAGCAGAAGCUUUAAAAAGGCAUUUGCAAAUACACACUGGGAACAAACCUUACAAGUGCCAAAUUUGUUUGAAGCAAUUUAGAGAUGGCAGUUUGAGAAAGCAUUUAAGGAUACACACUGGAGAAAAGCCGCACAAGUGCGAAAUUUGUUUUAAGCAAUUUAGUGAAGUAGGAAAUUUGAAAAAGCAUUUAAGAAUACACUCUAAAGAAAAGCCUUAUAAGUGCGAAAUCUGUUUUAAGCAAUUUAGUCGAAAUGACCAUUUGAAAGUGCAUGUAAGGCUCCACACUGGAGAAAAGUCUUACAAGUGUGAAAUUUGUUUUAAACAAUUUAGUCAAGAUGGCAGUUUGAGAAAUCAUUUAAGGAUACACACUGGGGAAAAGCCUUACAACUGCGAAAUUUGUUUGAAGCAAUUUAGUCAAGCAGGUAGUUUGAAAAAUCAUAUCAAAUCGCACACUGGAGAAAAGCCUUAUAAGUGCGAAAUAUGUUUUAAGCAAUUUAGUGAAGCAGGAAAUUUGAAAAAGCAUUUAAGAGUGCACACUGGCGAAAAGCCUUACAAGUGUGAAAUUUGUUUUAAACAAUUCAGUCAAGAUGGAAAUUUGAAAGAGCAUUUAAGAAUACACACUUAAGAAAAGUCUUUAAAGUGUGAAAUUUGUUCUAAACAAUUUGGUCAAGAUGAAACUUUCUACGAAAAAGCAACAGUCACAGUAAAACAUCCACACCAAACCAAUAAAAAUAAGUAGAGGAAUUAGGCAAGGGGACACAAUAUCCCCAAAAUUAUUUACACAAGCUAUUGGAAUAUGUUUUGUAACGUUGGAAAUUACGGGAAUAUGUAAAAAAUUGACAGCAAUGAGGAAUGAUAUAUGAUAAUUAGACUUAGGCAAAUAUGCAAAUUGCAUAUUAUGCAUAAAAGAUGCAAAAAUAUCCAAUUUUGCAUAUUUUCAUAUAAAUGUGCAUAAAGUACAUAUAAUUUGAAAGUUUGGUGUAUAUAUUUUAAUAUUCAUAUAACAAAUAGCUUGGAAAUCUCAAUAUUUAAUUUUGUUUUAUAGACUCUUGGUAUUCAAAUUUUUGUUAUCGGAACUAAUAAAAGAUACCGUCUUAUGCAUAAUUUUGUCACGUUUUUUCCUUGAUACAAGGGUUCCAAAAUCUGCCAGUUUAUAUCACUAUAUAGUGGCCGGUUUCACCAACGACAAUUAGUAUUUUAUUCUAUGAAUAAAGUUAUUCGACCAAUAAACUGGCAUUACUCCAUUUUACUAACGUCAAAUAAGACUUAUUUUAUUUAUUUAUUAAAUAAAUAGUUAAUCUUUUUUGUUUACUUCAAUCAUCAACUGGUCUAAUUAAUAAAAGAGGCUGCUUCCAUAUUUAUCAUUUAUUUCCUAGGAUUAUAUUGGAUUACUACAAAAAUACAAAUUUUAUCUCUUAACAUAACAUGUCUAACGUCUAUCAUCUGUCAGUUCUCUUCUUAUUAGAAAAAGGACAGGAAGGAGGUUUUUAACGAUCUACAACAAUCUUCGAACAAAUUGGCAAGUUAAUCUCACUGUAAAUAUUUACAAGAAAGUAUAUUCGUCAAUUUAACUUUAAAUUAUCAGAAUUAUAUUGAAACAAAAUAAAAAUAUAAACGUCUAAUAAAUUUUAUUCGAAGAAUAACUAAAUAUUCAUUGAUUUAUUUGUUGUUUGUUGGUGAAACCGGGCCUAGGUAAAUUUUUUUAGUUUGACGGUCCUUUUCAAUUUUGUUGUAAAAUAAGCCGUGAACACCUGUGUUCAGUGUCAUUCAUAAAAUCAAACUAUAGUUUCGUUCAGAAAACUAUUACCCAAUUAGAUUCCUCCAAAUUAUCAAUGUUAGACAGUACAUUUUUAAUAAAAGAAUUUGAAUCAUUGUCUCAAAACGUUAAAAGUAAAAUAUAUUGGAAAGAAAACUUUCCAAACAUUUUCCAACAACCAUGGAAAAAACAGUGGUUACCAGGUUCUUUCUGAAGUGGUUCAAGUAGAGCUUGGAUAUUUUCCUAACCACUUAAUUUAGAGCCAACUAUUAUGGUGAAUUUGAAAAAUGCCCCAGUUACAUCAGUUGAUGUCGUAAGAAGUUUUUCUAUGUACUCAGAUAGAAGCCAUAUGUUUCUGUUCAUUUUUUUGUUACCACAAUUCGAAAUAAUAUCAUUUAUUUGUUAAAAUACUUAAAUAUUUAAUUACAUAAGCUUAGUUUAUAAAGUACAUACACAUGUUAAUUAAUACAACAUGUGAAGAUAUUUUAAAUAUUUUUGUAAAUUAAAAAAUGUUGUAAAUAUUUUUUUAUUACAUGCAUAUUUUCUAGAUAAUCUUGCAUAUUUUUGGGUAAAAUACUGCAUAUUUAUGCGCAUAUUUCAUACCUUUUUAUUUGCAUAUUUGCCUAAGUCUAAUGAUAAUAUUAAAAACAAAGUAGGUCGUUGUUGUUAAUAA
rnacentral:misc_RNA from 1 species